rnacentral:tmRNA from 1 species
GGGGUUGACCGGUUUUGACAGCGUGUAGAAGUGGUCAGCAAGCAUGCAGAGCAAUGAUGGCUACGCUCUUUAAUCUGAGACAUCGAAAAUUCAAAUGGCGAAAACAACUACGCUCUCGCUGCUUGAUUGAAGUAUAGUAGAUCAGCUUUAUCCGCGUAACAGUUACGAGGACGAGACAUCGCCCGAGAGUCCUGGACCCGAGACUCCUCGACAUGGCGGUGCAGCAAAAUCGGGUAUAGGAUUGACCGAGCCUCGCGAGCAAUCCGAAAAUCAAGAGGCUAAGGCUGCGAUUGGGCGUCCUGACCCUGUCGCAACUCGAAAACCAAUUCAGGAAUAAGCAUGUAGAAAACUCAUCAGUUCCACGUUUGGACGGGGGUUCAAAUCCCCCCAACUCCACUA